CGAGUAGGUAGGGACAACUCUAUGCCCCUAUUUAGCAGGAAGAAGUUACAGAAGAUGAGACCUUCUACCUUCAACAAUCUUAAAGAUUUAAGGAUCAAAAUUGUUCAGGGAGGAAUGAUGAAGGAACAGAAGGCUGGCUGAGGACAAAGCAAAAGG